rnacentral:tRNA from 1 species
GGCGCUAUAGUGUAGUGGUUAUCACUCGAGAUUCUGAUUCUCGAAACCCAGGUUCGAGCCCUGGUAGCGCCU